rnacentral:hammerhead_ribozyme from 1 species
AUGGACGAGUCCCAAAUAGGACGAAACGUGCGUCCUGGAU